GAGGGCAGAGCUCAGUGGCAGAGCGCAUGCUUAGCACGCAUGAGGUACUGGGUUCGAUCCCCAACACCUCCU
rnacentral:tRNA from 1 species